UAGCCUUAAACUUAUGAGUAAGGAAAAUAAAUGCCUGGGUGACGCCGGGUAUACGCAUUACUGAUGCAUUAGUAAUAUUUGGAGGGUGGCAGGCUGCCCUUGGGCUUGACUCGCCUACUUCUGCGAGUCGCCCUUGUUUAGGCGGCCUCCAU
rnacentral:snRNA from 1 species